rnacentral:rRNA from 1 species
GGGUUGUGAGGUUAAGCGACUAAGCGUACACGGUGGAUGCCCUGGCAGUCAGAGGCGAUGAAGGACGUGCUAAUCUGCGAAAAGCGUCGGUAAGGUGAUAUGAACCGUUACAGCCGGCGAUGUCCGAAUGGGGAAACCCAGUGCAAUUCGUUGCACUAUCGUUAACUGAAUACAUAGGUUAACGAGGCGAACCGGGGGAACUGAAACAUCUAAGUACCCCGAGGAAAAGAAAUCAACCGAGAUUCCCCCAGUAGCGGCGAGCGAACGGGGAGCAGCCCAGAGUCUGAAUCAGCUUGUGUGUUAGUGGAACGGUCUGGAAAGUCCGACGGUACAGGGUGAUAGUCCCGUACACCAAAAUGCACAGGUUGUGAACUCGAAGAGUAGGGCGGGACACGUGGUAUCCUGUCUGAAUAUGGGGGGACCAUCCUCCAAGGCUAAAUACUCCUGACUGACCGAUAGUGAACCAGUACCGUGAGGGAAAGGCGAAAAGAACCCCGGCGAGGGGAGUGAAAAAGAACCUGAAACCGUGUACGUACAAGCAGUGGGAGCACCUUCGGGUGUGACUGCGUACCUUUUGUAUAAUGGGUCAGCGACUUAUAUUCUGUAGCAAGGUUAACCGUAUAGGGGAGCCGCAGGGAAACCGAGUCUUAACUGGGCGUUAAGUUGCAGGGUAUAGACCCGAAACCCGGUGAUCUAGCCAUGGGCAGGUUGAAGGUUGGGUAACACUAACUGGAGGACCGAACCGACUAAUGUUGAAAAAUUAGCGGAUGACUUGUGGCUGGGGGUGAAAGGCCAAUCAAACCGGGAGAUAGCUGGUUCUCCCCGAAAGCUAUUUAGGUAGCGCCUCGUGAAUUCAUCUUCGGGGGUAGAGCACUGUUUCGGCUAGGGGGUCAUCCCGACUUACCAACCCGAUGCAAACUACGAAUACCGAAGAAUGUUAUCACGGGAGACACACGGCGGGUGCUAACGUCCGUCGUGAAGAGGGAAACAACCCAGACCGCCAGCUAAGGUCCCAAAGUCAUGGUUAAGUGGGAAACGAUGUGGGAAGGCACAGACAGCCAGGAUGUUGGCUUAGAAGCAGCCAUCAUUUAAAGAAAGCGUAAUAGCUCACUGGUCGAGUCGGCCUGCGCGGAAGAUGUAACGGGGCUAAACCAUGCACCGAAGCUGCGGCAGCGACACUAUGUGUUGUUGGGUAGGGGAGCGUUCUGUAAGCCUGCGAAGGUGACCUGUGAGGGUUGCUGGAGGUAUCAGAAGUGCGAAUGCUGACAUAAGUAACGAUAAAGCGGGUGAAAAGCCCGCUCGCCGGAAGACCAAGGGUUCCUGUCCAACGUUAAUCGGGGCAGGGUGAGUCGACCCCUAAGGCGAGGCCGAAAGGCGUAGUCGAUGGGAAACAGGUUAAUAUUCCUGUACUUGGUGUUACUGCGAAGGGGGGACGGAGAAGGCUAUGUUAGCCGGGCGACGGUUGUCCCGGUUUAAGCAUGUAGGCUGGUUAUCCAGGCAAAUCCGGAUAAUCAAGGCUGAGGUGUGAUGACGAGGCACUACGGUGCUGAAGUAACAAAUGCCCUGCUUCCAGGAAAAGCCUCUAAGCAUCAGGUAACAUCAAAUCGUACCCCAAACCGACACAGGUGGUCAGGUAGAGAAUACCAAGGCGCUUGAGAGAACUCGGGUGAAGGAACUAGGCAAAAUGGUGCCGUAACUUCGGGAGAAGGCACGCUGGUGUGUAGGUGAAGUCCCUGCGGAUGGAGCUGAGACCAGUCGAAGAUACCAGCUGGCUGCAACUGUUUAUUAAAAACACAGCACUGUGCAAACACGAAAGUGGACGUAUACGGUGUGACGCCUGCCCGGUGCCGGAAGGUUAAUUGAUGGGGUUAUCCGUAAGGAGAAGCUCUUGAUCGAAGCCCCGGUAAACGGCGGCCGUAACUAUAACGGUCCUAAGGUAGCGAAAUUCCUUGUCGGGUAAGUUCCGACCUGCACGAAUGGCGUAAUGAUGGCCAGGCUGUCUCCACCCGAGACUCAGUGAAAUUGAACUCGCUGUGAAGAUGCAGUGUACCCGCGGCAAGACGGAAAGACCCCGUGAACCUUUACUAUAGCUUGACACUGAACAUUGAGCCUUGAUGUGUAGGAUAGGUGGGAGGCUUUGAAGCGUGGACGCCAGUCUGCGUGGAGCCAACCUUGAAAUACCACCCUUUAAUGUUUGAUGUUCUAACGUUGGCCCCUUACCGGGGUUGCGGACAGUGUCUGGUGGGUAGUUUGACUGGGGCGGUCUCCUCCCAAAGCGUAACGGAGGAGCACGAAGGUUAGCUAAUCCUGGUCGGACAUCAGGAGGUUAGUGCAAUGGCAUAAGCUAGCUUGACUGCGAGCGUGACGGCGCGAGCAGGUGCGAAAGCAGGUCAUAGUGAUCCGGUGGUUCUGAAUGGAAGGGCCAUCGCUCAACGGAUAAAAGGUACUCCGGGGAUAACAGGCUGAUACCGCCCAAGAGUUCAUAUCGACGGCGGUGUUUGGCACCUCGAUGUCGGCUCAUCACAUCCUGGGGCUGAAGUAGGUCCCAAGGGUAUGGCUGUUCGCCAUUUAAAGUGGUACGCGAGCUGGGUUUAGAACGUCGUGAGACAGUUCGGUCCCUAUCUGCCGUGGGCGCUGGAGAAUUGAGGGGGGCUGCUCCUAGUACGAGAGGACCGGAGUGGACGCAUCACUGGUGUUCGGGUUGUCAUGCCAAUGGCACUGCCCGGUAGCUAAAUGCGGAAGAGAUAAGUGCUGAAAGCAUCUAAGCACGAAACUUGCCCCGAGAUGAGUUCUCCCUGAGACUUUAAGUCUCCUGAAGGAACGUUGAAGACGACGACGUUGAUAGGCCGGGUGUGUAAGCGCAGCGAUGCGUUGAGCUAACCGGUACUAAUGAACCGUGAGGCUUAACCUUACAACGCCGAAG